GAACGGUCUAAAUUUAUUUUCUUUUUAAACGCGAUCGGACGGUCAAGAUCAAAUAUGAUGAAUGGUUUAAAUUUAAGAGAGAUGGAUAUAAAUAUCUCGCAUCACACCGAACCCAAACCCUAGCCGCAAGCCUCCCACUGGAUAAGAAGAGCCAGUCGCCGAAGAAAUGAGCCAACCACCACCCGCCGCCGUGCCAGAGCCCCCUCCGACCACCAAAAAAGGU
rnacentral:lncRNA from 1 species